AUUGAACGCUGGCGGCAUGCCUUACACAUGCAAGUCGAACGGUAACGCGGGGCAACCUGGCGACGAGUGGCGAACGGGUGAGUAAUAUAUCGGAACGUGCCCAGUAGUGGGGGAUAGCCCGGCGAAAGCCGGAUUAAUACCGCAUGAGACCUGAGGGUGAAAGCGGGGGAUCGCAAGACCUCGUGCUAUUGGAGCGGCCGAUAUCAGAUUAGGUAGUUGGUGGGGUAAAGGCCUACCAAGCCGACGAUCUGUAGCUGGUCUGAGAGGACGACCAGCCACACUGGGACUGAGACACGGCCCAGACUCCUACGGGAGGCAGCAGUGGGGAAUUUUGGACAAUGGGCGCAAGCCUGAUCCAGCCAUGCCGCGUGCGGGAAGAAGGCCUUCGGUUGUAACCGCUUUGUCUAGGGAAGAAAGUCUCUGGUAAUACCUCGGAGGAGUGACGGUACCUGAAGAAUAAGCACCGGCUAAC
rnacentral:rRNA from 1 species